rnacentral:rRNA from 1 species
GAUGAACGCUGGCGGCGUGCCUAAUACAUGCAAGUCGAGCGGACGGACGAGAAUCUUGCUUCGCUGAUGUUAGCGGCGGACGGGUGAGUCACACGUGUAUAACCUACCUAUAAGACUGGGAUAACUUCGGGAAACCGUAUCUAAUACCGUAGAAGAUUUUGAUCCGCAUGGGUGAAAAGUGAAAUACGGUCGUGCUGUCACUUAUAGAUGGAUCCGGGCUGUAUUAGCUAGUUGGUAAGUUAACGGCUUACCAAGGCAACGAUGCAUAGCCGACGUGUGAGGGUGAUAGGCCACCCUGGAACUGAGACACGGUCCAGAGUACUACGGGAGGCAGCAGUAGGGAACCUUACGCAACGGGGGAAAGCAUGGCGGAGCAACACCGCGUGAGUGAUGAAGGUCUUCGGAUCGUAAUAAUCUGUUAUUAGGGGAGAACAUAUGUGUAAGUAAAUGUGCACAGAUUGACGGUAACUAAUCAGAAAGCCCCGGCUAACUACGUG